rnacentral:rRNA from 1 species
UACGGGGGGGGCAAGCGUUGUUCGGAAUUACUGGGCGUAAAGGGCUCGUAGGCGGCCAACUAAGUCAUACGUGAAAUCCCUCGGCUUAACCGGGGAACUGCGUCUGAUACUGGAUGGCUUGAGAUUGGGAGAGGGAUGCGGAAUUCCAGGUGUAGCGGUGAAAUGCGUAGAUAUCUGGAGGAACACCGGUGGCGAAGGCGGCAUCCUGGACCAACACUGACGCUGAGGAGCGAAAGCGUGGGGAGCAAACAGG